UAUAUGCUGACGUCAUUUUCUCGGAAAGCGAUUUGGAUUUGUGAAAGACUCUGUCGCUACUUUACCAUUCUACUCAGGAAACAUUUGCUGGAGAAUCUGAGAAAAACGAGGAGGCGUACAAGUCUUUCCUACUUUCACAUAACAGGCGUGUGAUUUAGAGAGCCAUGGACAAACAAGGAAGUCAAAGCGCACAGCCCAGAAAUCCGAUGACAAAAGAAGCAGCGUCGAGGAUUCAGAGUUCAGAAGCAAAACAGCAUGGCGGCGGGGUUCCAAAAGGAAGCUUUUCAACGCGCGCUCAGUCUACUGCAGACAAGCGGGCAAACCAGAACAACUGAAUGCCUAUGGAACUGUAUUUUAACUCAAAGGGAGCACGAUUACGUUCAUUAUAAUCUGUAAGAGACAUUUGAUCUUUGUUUAAUCUUUAAAAGUAGCUAGGUUGUCCUUAAACUAUGAUUCGAAUUUGUUGCUGAAUAAUCAUCAUCUAGCAAGUUGUAGCCGUGUGUAGAGCGUCGAAGUAAAACUCAUCUGACAUCUUAGGAAAAUGAUUGAAGCACAAUGUAAGCAACUGAAAUAAAAUAGUUAUCUAUGAAUGCUAGUGGCCGAGA